rnacentral:rRNA from 1 species
GAUGAACGCUAGCGGCAGGCCUAACACAUGCAAGUCGAGGGGUAGAGGAAGCUUGCUUCCUUGAGACCGGCGCACGGGUGCGUAACGCGUAUGCAAUCUACCUUUUACAGAGGGAUAGCCCAGAGAAAUUUGGAUUAAUACCUCAUAGUAUUUUCGAAUGGCAUCAUUUGAUUAUUAAAGUUCCAACGGUAAAAGAUGAGCAUGCGUCCUAUUAGCUAGAUGGUAAGGUAACGGCUUACCAUGGCAACGAUAGGUAGGGGUCCUGAGAGGGAGAUCCCCCACACUGGUACUGAGACACGGACCAGACUCCUACGGGAGGCAGCAGUGAGGAAUAUUGGACAAUGGGCGCAAGCCUGAUCCAGCCAUGCCGCGUGCAGAAAGACGCAUCUAUGGUGUGUAAACUGCUUUUGUACGGGAAGAAACACUCCCUCGUGAGGGAGCUUGACGGUACCGUAAGAAUAAGGAUCGGCUAACUCCGUGCCAGCCGCCGCCGUAAGAC